rnacentral:lncRNA from 10 species
AUUUUUCAACUGCUGCUUUGAGAAAAGGAGUUAUUUGGUUUGAUAAUCCUUUCCCUCUCCUGACCUUGUUGCCCCAGGAUAUGAACAACUUCAAUAAGCAAUGCACAAGGGAAGUACUUUGUGUUUUGCCCGGAAAGCCACAGAAUCUUUGAAUGCAACAGACACUCUCUCAAGGCCCCCAGGAGCCUGAAUGGGGCCCGUCCACAUUAAGGGCUGAUCUUCCCCUUCCCCAAUCAAUCCACUUGGACUCACAUCCCAACCUCCUCUGGAAACACCCUCACAAACACACCCCAAAAUAACACUAUACCAGCUCUCUAGCUAUUCCUUAAUCCAGUCAAGUCGACACCUAAAAUUAACCAUUACAGCCGCACAUUUUGGUUCAUAGGAAAGAACUUUAAAGCUACUGAUCUAGUUAACCUUGCUGGUCACCCAUAAAUGAGAAAGGAUGUGAAUCAAGGAGGAAGGAGACGUGCUCUACAACAUAGGCCACCCACACUCACUCCUAGUAUGUUACCAAGUGACAAAUUCACACAUCACAUUCCAUUGUAGAAAAAAAAGUCACUUCUUAAUUUCCUCAAUAUCUGAUCUCACCUUCCGCUUAAGCCACCCUCUGUUUUUCUCCCCAGAGAGGAUGCCUUACCACGUGUAUGCCGCCUAUCUCAGUAUCUGCUGGUGUAACGAGCGCUUUUGGUACCUGUUAGGCCCCCCGUCUCCAACUCCUCGCACCUCCUUUCCAAGGUGGUGACUGGGUCCUCAUGGUGAGUGAGAGGAGGGGUCCCCAGGCUGUUUGCAGAUGGGGGGCUGCCCUCUAUUCCUCACCAGCUGCUGCAGUAGUGGUCUCCCUGUCACCACCUGCUCUGGCUGCUAACUUCUUUGAAAAGGGAAAGUUCUCUCUUUGCUUAGGGCUGUGUAGCCUCUGAAGAUCUGGCCGCCAUUCCCAUUCAAUUCCUGGGCACGCAGGUCUGCCCCGUAGGCUCUGAUGGUAGGCUCCGUUUGCUCAGUAGCCAGCACCAGGCCUGCCCCUUUCCAGCGACCUCCCUGCCCCUCCCCAGGCCCCUAAAGGAGGUUCUGGGAGCUGUGCCCAGGCAUUCUCUACCUGAAGCCACUGUGCUCCUGCCUGGCCACUGCUGCAGCCCCCAGCAGGAAGCAGAGCCACAAGCCCUCACCUCUCAUCCUCCCCCACACUCUAUGCAGCCUUCUUGUCAUGGACACAGGUCUUCCCUCCACCCCACAGUCCAUGUGAGCCUGAAAGAGAGGUUCUGUUCCUCUUCUGUCUCUUAUCUGACCAGAGCUGCCACUACCUCAUGCCCUCUCCUGGGAUUGUAUUAACUUUAGGCUUCUGGGAAAGUUGAUUUAUGAGGAAGAGGAAGAGUGAGAAAGAAUUGGAGAAACAAAAGAAAUCAGAGAACUUGACAAUUUUCUUGUUCCUUCUGAAAUGAAUUUUCAAGGUGACUUAUUAUUCUGUUUAAAACACUAAAUUCUCAGAAUGCUAUGUACUUCUUGGUGCUAACAAACUGAAAAAGAAUCACACCUACAUCAAACCUAUGCAGUUUGGAAAUCAUCUGCUCUUGUGGCUCAUCUGCGUUGCUCACUUGUCUUGGCAAAAGCAUAUCUGAGUUGGCAAUGUCUCUUUUCUUUUCCGCUUUUUCUUAGGCUGUCUAUUUCAUGUGCUAUAGCUAUUUACAAUAGAUUGCAUGAGCCCCAGCCUGUUUCUAAGAAAAAGAUAAUAGAAAAAUGUGUAUAAAAUUGUAAAAAUACAAUCAUGUACAAAGCCAUAGUUAACACUCGAGAGCCUAUGGGUGAGUCCACUGAGGGCACCUGCCAAGACCCUUAACCACAGAAGUCUGAGAUAUCCCCAAGCUGGGACUCCCAUUACUUUCCCUAUUCUGGCUCUCUGGUGUGCUUCCUACUAUGAUAUCCUAGUUUUUCUGCCUCUCUUCAACCAUGUUUUCCCUUAAAAAAGAUGUAUAUACAGACAUAAGUCUUGUAAGUGAAUGCAUAAAUAAUAGAUACAAAAAGGAUUUUAUUGUAGUAUUCCCUAGCAACACAAAAAUAUGGGUAUAUACACUUCCAGUGUCACAUUAUUCAGGAUGUCUUUUUAAACAGUAUAAAUAUUAUCCUCAACUGUAAGCAAAUAUAGACCAGUAAGGGAGCGACAGACAGCUUUUUAAAAACUGCUUUUUUGAAAAGCUUAUCCAAAUCAAGCAUUUGUUAUCUUUUUGCAAUGUCAACAGAGCUCUUGAAUAAAAUAUUAGAUUAUGCCCCUGCUUUUUAAUCUGAAAGUCAUGUGGGUUUUGGUUUUGUCAUAACUACCUUAGUGCCUGUGUAUACUCUCUAACACCCAUUAUUUUCCUAAUGAUUUUAUGAAACUACAUUGGUUUUGCAGAUGAGCCAAAAAUGGGUAAAAAGGAAAGAAUGAAGACAUAAGUAAAACAGAAAACAUGGCUUUGGCUAAGAAAGCACCUUUUCUUGCACUGUGCUUUAAUAUUCAGUAAACAUUUGGUUACGGUUAAAAGAAAUAAGAAAUAUGUAUGUUUAUAUUGAACUGGCUAAUUUAAUGGCUGCUUUGACUUCUACUAAAGGGUCAUCUAAUAUUUGAUAAUAAACACAACACAUUAAUUUUUCACUUUUCUUUGAAUUACGGGAAGGAAGUCUUACUAUGAAAAGCCUCAUUAUGAAAGGCCUCAGUCUGGUCUCAAAUCCGCAGAAAUUAUACUCUUUCCUCUUGACAUCUUGUAAUAAAUAAAACUGUUAAUAUUUUGACUUUAGACAAAUUUCUCUUUUGCUUUCAGCAGCUAACAGUUACAAAAAGAGACAGUGCCACAUUAGUUACAGUAAUUUACUUUGGGGACACCAGCAGAAACACAUAAAAUUCAUUAGUGGCGCCAAAAGCUAUUUCCAGUUCUAAUAAAAAGGCUAAACUACAAUUUAUGAAACGAGUCUUAAAACUUUCCUGAAGACAGAAGAGUUGAGAUGAUCUUUGGAAUAACCAAAGCAAGAAUCCCUACUGUACUUAAGCCAAAAUGUUUGUUUUCACAAUACCGUAACAUAAUGUGUUAACAUUAAAAUACUUUCUCAUUGCCAAAUGAAUAUAAACUGGGGAGAUGCUCUCUCAGCUCAUGCUCUUGGUCCAUUAAGCCCGGGUUCCUGCCUCUGGCAGUGUUUCAUGCUUCAAAGAAAGGCAACAACAACAAAAAAACCUUAUAAGCAAAAUUAGAAUAAAUCUACAGCUCUUAUGAUCAAUCAUGCAAGGUUAGCACUGGGAGAAAAACACAUUCGCUUCUGUUUCCCAUAGGAAUCGCAUGCCUCUGACUUUGAGACCUUGGGAAAUACAUUUUCAUCCCACAGGAAACUCAAGGUUGCAGAUGGACACACACAUUCUACUAAUAUCAUUUUUAUUUAAACAGUUUGGUCUGAUAAUUUAUUAAAAAGUGUUCCCUAAAGGAAUGAUGCUGCUACUAAAAACAUUUUCCUGAAUUACUUUUAAUCUAAAAAGUGCUUGAGAAGAAAGCUGGAAGAUACGAUAGUUGAAUUCCUACAGAAGCCUUGCCUU